UUGCUUUGGCAGCACAUAUACUACAAUUAGAAUGAUACAGAGAGGAUUAGCAUGGCCCCUGUGCAAGGAUGGUACACAAAUUCAUGAAGCAUUGAAACAAAAA
rnacentral:snRNA from 1 species